UAGGGGGCUCCAUACUUGCAUAUCCAUCUUCAGAUCUAAACCCCAAAAAGAAUCAUUCACAUAAACUCUCAAAAGUAAACUCCAGCAAAAACUAAGCACAGCCGUUCCUACCGAACCUUUCACCGAUCUCCUCCAUUUACCACCAACUCCGGUGCACCGCCUUUAUCCACCGCCUUCCAAACUCCGGUGAAUGUCGUGUGUCCCGCAACUUUCGUUAAUUUGAGACAGAUCUAAACGCGGGGGUGAAAAAAGAUACCGAAUUCUUGAUUUUUCGGACUCGUAGCGAGUUUUGUUGACAUAUGCGGUCAGUUUUCAAUUUCUUCGACCUCAUUUUUAUCGGCGGAAAAGUUCCAAAAUGUAGGUCUGUCAAAAUCCAAAGACAAUGCCAAAGAUGUCAAGCAAAUUAAUUUUUCUAUUUUUCAAUCGGAGUUCUUCAUGAUUUCACAACAUUCUUAUUAUUGUGAAUCCACUAUCCAUUAUUUACCAUUGUUCAUAUUUUGUAUUCUACUACGAGCAUUGUAUAAGAUAAAAUUGUAAAUAUAUUUCAUGGGAGCAAUAAAAUAGUCAUAUUUGAAUUUUGAAUUUUUA